rnacentral:rRNA from 1 species
UACGGAGGGAGCAAGCGUUACUCGGAAUUAUUGGGCGUAAAGGGCGCGUAGGCGAUCUGACAAGUCUGGUGUGAAAGCCCACAUGUUAACUGUGGAAGUGCAUUAGAAACUGUCGGGCUAGAGUCCGGAAGAGGCGAGUGGAAUUCCCGGUGUAGCGGUGAAAUGCGCAGAUAUCGGGAGGAACACCAAUGGCGAAGGCAGCUCGCUGGGACGGUACGUGACGCUGAGACGCGAAAGCGUGGGGAGCAAACAGG